rnacentral:rRNA from 1 species
AGCGAACGCUGGCGGCAGGCCUAACACAUGCAAGUCGAACGAACUCUUCGGAGUUAGUGGCGGACGGGUGAGUAACACGUUGGAACGUGCCUUUUGGUUCGGAAUAACUCAGGGAAACUUGUGCUAAUACCGAAUGUGCCCUUCGGGGGAAAGAUUUAUCGCCAUUAGAGCGGCCCGCGUCUGAUUAGCUAGUUGGUGAGGUAACGGCUCACCAAGGCGACGAUCAGUAGCUGGUCUGAGAGGAUGACCAGCCACACUGGGACUGAGACACGGCCCAGACUCCUACGGAAGGCAGCAGUGGGGAAUCUUGCGCAAUGGGCGAAAGCCUGACGCAGCCAUGCCGCGUGAAUGAUGAAGGUCUUAGGAUUGUAAAAUUCUUUCACCGGGGACGAUAAUGACGGUACCCGGAGAAGAAGCCCCGGCUAACUUCGUG